UUGGGGGGCUGAAAAGGUCAUGGGGGACAAUGCUGAGUUGCUUCCCCCAGACCUGUGACUGGGGUCUGGUGUCUCACACAGGGUGAAAAUGUCCUUCUCCAUCAGGGCCGUGUCCCCAAACACCCCACGGAGCCCUGUGGAGUCGGUGCUGUGCUCAGGGACCUGUUAUCAGCCAGCUCUCACAGAGCUCUGACGUGGGAAUCGAUAAAAACUCUCCUUCAGUGCUUUUCAGUCUCUGGCAGCACAAGAGCAAAGGCAGCCAAAGCCCAGCAGCUCCGUCCUUGGUGCCCUGCUCCUCCUCCUCCUCCUCCUCCUCCUCCUCUCCUCUCCGUGGGAUUUGUCCCAGGGGUGUGAUUUAUAGGGCAGGUGUGAUUUAUGGAGCCUUGCAGAGCUCCCUGCCCCUUGCCCCUAGUCCCUUAUUCCCGAGGGUUUGGGUGUUUCUGGGAUCAGGCAAUGGGAACAUUGCCUCUGGGGUUCCUGCUGCCUCUCCCUCCUUCUGCCUGGGCCUGGGGCAGUGAAUCCCAUCCUGAGGGAGCUCGAGGCCUCGUGGAUCCUUCUCAGGAUGCCACAGGAAAGGGAGCUGGGGGAUUUUGGGGGAUAAUUGGCCCACAAGUGUGUCCCACCUGCUCUCCCCAUCUGGGUGCUCUCAUUCCCCUCCCUGAGGAACUGGGGCUGGGGGUCCUCAGUGGGGCCCUCCCUGAUCCUUGUUUCACAGGGAAUGUGGGGCUGCACCAGAGGCACCACAGCACCCUUGGCUGCAGGUACCCGGUGUGUCUUCCAGCAGCUCCCAAAUCGCCUCCAUUCCAUGGGAUUUGGGGGAUUCUCAACACAAUUCCCAUUCCCAGCCAGGUGAGCUGCUGCUGUCAUACUCCUGAUCAUGGGGAUGAAGAACAAACCCACCUCAGGGCAUUUUUGGGGCUGUGGGGUGGGGACAGGACUCUGGAACCACGUGGGUUGGUGGUGGGGCCAGCAUGGAGAAUCCCAGUGCCAUCCAGUGGGGAUGGGUGGCCCAGGCUGGAGCUUCUGGGGGUUCCCACAGUAGGAAAAUCCAUCCCCAUCCCCACACCCCUGAGCACCACUGGCCAGCCCUAUCCCCAGGGCUGCAUUUCCUUCUCCACUCCACAAUUUGG
rnacentral:lncRNA from 1 species